AAAACAGAAAUACAGGUCUCUGAUGCAGAACCUGAGGAUGUAAAGUAAAGCAUAAGGGAGAAGGGAAAGGGAAAUGAUGUAGUUUUAUCCUAAUGCUGGAAAAAAGGGGUUAUUGAAAGAUGAGGCUGUAGCAACAUGAAGGUCCAACCUCUGUAACAGAUUUCGGAUGCUCUUUGCCCGUGGAUCCUGUUUAAUCUUGAGCUGUUUGCAGAGCAAGGUAAAAUAAAAGGUAGCGCUACGACACCCCCAUUUCUCUACAAAUUACUAUAGACACUGGAGAAUAAGCAAGAUAUAAAAUGAAGACUUAAAAAUUACUGGCAUUAAGUGAUAAUUAGUGUCUAUACAUGAUAAUGGGAACAUUUCAAAAUGAGGACUAAGUAGCUAUGCUAUAUAUUUAAAUGACUUUCUAGAAUACUGGUACAAAUCACUGGGCAAGUUCCUGCUUGUUUCUGCAGGAGUAAGCAUAUGUGAGAGCAUGUGUGUUUCAGUGUAUAUGUGAGC